CCCCCCAGCUGUGCCCAGGUGCCCCCCAGGUGUGCCCAGGUGUGCCCAGGUGCGCUCACCUGGCAGUUGAAGUACAGGAAGCCCUUGGGGCAGUUCAGGUGCCCCCCAGCUGUGCCCAGGAGUGCCCAGGUGCGCUCACCUGGCGGUUGAAGUACAGGAAGCCCUUGGGGCAGUUCAGGUGCCCCCCAG